GAUGAACGCUGGCGGCGUGCCUAAUACAUGCCAGUCGAGCGAACAGACCAGGAGCUUUCUCCUCUGACGUUAGCGGCGGUCGGGUGAGUCACACGUGGAUAACCUACCUCUACGACUGGGAUAACUUCGGGAAACCGGAGCUACUACCGGAUAACAUAUUGAACCUCAUUGUUCCAUAGUGAAAGUCGGUUUUGCUGUCACUUAUAGAUGGAACAGCGCCGCAUUAGCUAGUUGGGAAGGUAACGGCUUACCAAGCGAACGAGUCGUAGCCGACCUGAGAGGAGAUCGGCCACACUGGAACUGAGACACAGUCCAGACUCCGACGGGAGGCAGCAGUAGGGAAUCUUACGCAAUGGGCGAGAGCCUGACAGUGCAAAGCCGCGUAAGUGAUGAUGGUCUUCGGAUCGUAAAGCUCUGUAAUUCGGGAAGAACAAAUGUGUAAGUAACCAGGCUCGUCUUGACGGUACCUAGUCAGAAAGCCACGGCUAACUACGUG
rnacentral:rRNA from 1 species